GGCGGGGUAGCUCAGGUGGUUAGAGCAGCGGAAUCAUAAUCCGCGUGUCGGGGGUUCAAGUCCCUCUCCCGCUA
rfam:Rhizobiales bacterium 63-7 SCNpilot_expt_1000_bf_scaffold_716, whole genome shotgun sequence.